rnacentral:lncRNA from 1 species
CAAGCCGACACCCCUCUGCCUGUGCGCAAAGUGGAACGCUCCAGCUCGCUCUGGGCUCUGUUGUUGUGCAGAGCUGCAGAAGGCCUGAUAGAGCCAGCAGACAGAGAGAGGAGGAAGGGAGGGAUACAUAGACGGAGGCAGACACACACUGUGGAUCGAGAGCCUGUGUAUUCAACUCAUCGGCCAGUUCAACUAGCGACACCAGAGAGGAAGGAGACAAAGGGAAGAGGAAGACACAAGCGGAGUCUCAGUGAGAGCAGGGAAAGUGAAAGAGAGAGAGGCAAGGUGAAAGAGGAGAGGGAAGGAAGGAAGGAAAGGGAGGGAGGAAGGAGGCUGGGGCAUGAGGAGGGGCGCCUGACUGACAUUGCUGCUCUCUGCUAUCUGCUCACACACACACACACACACGUUGACGUCGGCAGACGCACACAUUCAGCCAGAUUGUGCACUGCACAGUUGCUGCUCUUUUUUUUUCCUAUCCUUUCGCCGGAGUCUCGACCUCCAUCCUUUUCUUCUCCUCUGAGCGAGAGGACAAGAGAGACAGAGAGAGGAGGAAGAGGAGGAGGGAAAAGGACAAGGAGGAGGAGGAGGAGGAGGGGAGGCAAUAACCCUCUCCUCUCCAGACACACAGCAGAGAGAGAUAAGGAGAGACGAGUCAAAAAGAGAGAGAGAGACAGCAGCUUUCUGUUCUAUUUCGCCGUCUCCUGUGGUCCCUCGGCCAGCGAGCGGCUAACAGGCACCGCUCAUGUCCGUGAACUCGGAGAAAUCCUCGUCCCCCGAAAGUUGACCGACUCGAUUCGUCUUUAUUCCGUCCCCUUCCUUCCUCUGCCUGUCUGUCUUUCAGAGCCGUUGCGUCUUUGCUGUCUUAAUGUUUUUACAGCUCCGCUCGGGUCCACAAAGUUAUGUGGGGCUAAGUGUUCGUACAGCCAAUGGCGAGAUGAGAUGUAUAAAAGCACUGAGCUAAUAGACGUGAUGUAAGACUCGAUACGUGACUUCUUUGGUAAAGAAGCAGCAUCCUACUGCAAGGACACAGCCUUCUGCUGCGUGUGUGUGUGUGUGUGUGUCAGUUGUGAAACAGCAAUGAAAUCUCAAUGCCAAGUUGUCUUCUGUCUUCGCUACUGCAUCGGAAGAAACAUCGUUGUUGUGUGUGUGUGUGUUUUGGCCUUGCCACCACGUUAACACUUUGUGUCCUGAGCCCCCCCCCCACAACUCCUCCCCUCCCCUCCUUGCUCUGCAGUUGCCA